rnacentral:lncRNA from 1 species
UAGCGAGGACAGCAGGAGAGAGAGCGCCUGCCUGGUCCCAGGACUCUGUUUACUUUCUCUUCUUUGCUAAGGAAGGCUGGUUAACUGGGGCUGCGUGGAGCACGCAGGCCCACCUGGGGAAAUGCUCGUUCCAAGACCUUAACUUUUUAAAAGCCCUUUGUUCCAAACGUUAGUGUGGACGAUGCUCUUGCAGGAUGCCUUUCCUUUUGGGUCUUAGACAGAUACCUUUGAAAGCCAUACCUCUUUCCGGGCAGAGAACAUGCCUUAACCUCAACGUGAGGGGAUGAACAUCUAUACUGAACUUGAGAGCAGGAGGAGCUAAUCAAAUGCCCACAGGAGCCAGGCAG